UAUCUUCUGCAGUGUUCGUUAACAGGCUGGUGGUAACUUGAGCCUACUCUACAUUACCAAGGGAAACUGAUUUGUGGCAUUGUGUGCACAUCCAUUCGUGGGGAGCCUGAUAUGUCGCAGUUACUUCCCACUUGAACUCACGGUUCAAGUUCUGAGGUUUGUAGCGACACUGCGGUUGGUGC
rnacentral:other from 1 species